rnacentral:rRNA from 1 species
AGAGUUUGAUCAUGGCUCAGAUUGAACGCUGGCGGCAGGCCUAACACAUGCAAGUCGAGCGGUAGCACAGAGAGCUUGCUCUCGGGUGACGAGCGGCGGACGGGUGAGUAAUGUCUGGGAAACUGCCUGAUGGAGGGGGAUAACUACUGGAAACGGUAGCUAAUACCGCAUAAUGUCGCAAGACCAAAGUGGGGGACCUUCGGGCCUCAUGCCAUCAGAUGUGCCCAGAUGGGAUUAGCUAGUAGGUGGGGUAACGGCUCACCUAGGCGACGAUCCCUAGCUGGUCUGAGAGGAUGACCAGCCACACUGGAACUGAGACACGGUCCAGACUCCUACGGGAGGCAGCAGUGGGGAAUAUUGCACAAUGGGCGCAAGCCUGAUGCAGCCAUGCCGCGUGUGUGAAGAAGGCCUUCGGGUUGUAAAGCACUUUCAGCGGGGAGGAAGGCGGUAAGGUUAAUAACCUUGUCGAUUGACGUUACCCGCAGAAGAAGCACCGGCUAACUCCGUGCCAGCAGCCGCGGUAAUACGGAGGGUGCAAGCGUUAAUCGGAAUUACUGGGCGUAAAGCGCACGCAGGCGGUCUGUCAAGUCGGAUGUGAAAUCCCCGGGCUUAACCUGGGAACUGCAUUCGAAACUGGCAGGCUAGAGUCUUGUAGAGGGGGGUAGAAUUCCAGGUGUAGCGGUGAAAUGCGUAGAGAUCUGGAGGAAUACCGGUGGCGAAGGCGGCCCCCUGGACAAAGACUGACGCUCAGGUGCGAAAGCGUGGGGAGCAAACAGGAUUAGAUACCCUGGUAGUCCACGCCGUAAACGAUGUCGAUUUGGAGGUUGUGCCCUUGAGGCGUGGCUUCCGGAGCUAACGCGUUAAAUCGACCGCCUGGGGAGUACGGCCGCAAGGUUAAAACUCAAAUGAAUUGACGGGGGCCCGCACAAGCGGUGGAGCAUGUGGUUUAAUUCGAUGCAACGCGAAGAACCUUACCUGGUCUUGACAUCCACAGAACUUUCCAGAGAUGGAUUGGUGCCUUCGGGAACUGUGAGACAGGUGCUGCAUGGCUGUCGUCAGCUCGUGUUGUGAAAUGUUGGGUUAAGUCCCGCAACGAGCGCAACCCUUAUCCUUUGUUGCCAGCGGUCCGGCCGGGAACUCAAAGGAGACUGCCAGUGAUAAACUGGAGGAAGGUGGGGAUGACGUCAAGUCAUCAUGGCCCUUACGACCAGGGCUACACACGUGCUACAAUGGCAUAUACAAAGAGAAGCGACCUCGCGAGAGCAAGCGGACCUCAUAAAGUAUGUCGUAGUCCGGAUUGGAGUCUGCAACUCGACUCCAUGAAGUCGGAAUCGCUAGUAAUCGUAGAUCAGAAUGCUACGGUGAAUACGUUCCCGGGCCUUGUACACACCGCCCGUCACACCAUGGGAGUGGGUUGCAAAAGAAGUAGGUAGCUUAACCUUCGGGAGGGCGCUUACCACUUUGUGAUUCAUGACUGGGGUGAAGUCGUAACAAGGUAACCGUAGGGGAACCUGCGGUUGGAUCACCU